CUCUUCUAAAACCUUCCGGUUCUCCCGAUGGUCGUCUACCUCAUCAAAAACAAGACUUAAAUCUCGACUAAAAUAACCGAUUCAUCCAAAUAUUGAUGGAUUGAUUUUUUUAAUUUCCUAAAAACUCUAUGAUAACAUUGAGUUUCUCUAACCAUGAAAAUCAAAUCAUAGAAACAUAAAAGGUGCGUUUUUCUAUUCUCUUGAUUGUUUCUCGUUGAUGCCCAUCCCAAAAUACUUUUAAUCCAAAUGGAAGAACAUGGAAUUUCUCAACUACCACAACUCAUAGCAAUUUCAGAAUCACAGCAUGUGAUCAACUAAAUCAGAAACCUUCAAUCGAUUCGGCACAUCUAUUAACAGGCGAAAUAGGUGGAUGCACUGGCAAAUCUGGCGACGGACAGAAGUCAACAAGGAUCCUCUGGUUUAGAUUUUGAAUAAAUUUUGAUAGGAAGGAGAAUAUCUAAAUUAGUUCGAAAAGAAUUGCCUAAUGUAAUGAAUUCUAAUGUUCUUACGUAAAAGUGUAUAAAAGUAAAGUAUUGACUAGAUGUUAUUGGAAAGUAAUACGCGGUAGUUACAAAA